rnacentral:lncRNA from 1 species
AAAAAUCCAAGGCACCCCUUCGACCUAACCAAGGCUAGUUGUGUGAUUUAAUCAAAGUUUUUCUUGUUUUAACCAAAGAAUUUAUUACAUUUGGAUGCACUACAUGAAUGCAAACCCUAGACCUAGGGGUAUUGGGGGAAAUUUCUCUUCAAAGGUUGAGUGGUGCCACUCACAUUAAUUGUGAAGCCCAAUAACGAUCCUUUGAAGAAGUCACGAAUAAUGCGAGUGGGAUGCAAAUGAAGGGAAUGCAUGUAUGCAAUGUGAAGGCAUGAGUUUGAAAAAGUAAUAAAAAACAAAGAUGCAUAAGUGAAAAUGUGCACGUGAGUGGGCAAGGUAUGGUAUGUGCAAUGGUAAUAUGAAUUGUAUGUGUGCAAGUGAUGAUAAAAAAGUGUUAGUGUGCAAGUGAAGGGAUAAAGAGAUGCACGUGUGCAAAUGAAGAAACAUAAAGGUGUACGUGUGCAAAAUGGGAGGAAAAAUGAAAGUGUGAUGAGGGUAUAAAAUGGUGGAGUGGAUGCAUGAACCUAGGGAAUGUAUGCAUAUUGGGUACGGGGAGACCUAAAUCGUGACUCAAUUUGCCCUUUUGUAGAGGGAAUACAAGCGUGCUAAGGCUUAGAAAAAGCCACACUCGUCUAUAUUCCAUAUUUAAGGGGACUCUUCAGGCAAAUGAACCCUAUAACUAGUAUGAAAUGUAAAAAUCCUAAAAUGGAGGGAAAAGGGGUUCGAGGGGCAUGCAAAAUGAUAAAACUAAAAAAAAAUGCAUGACAUGUGAUGAACAUGCAAACAUGUACUAACGAGGGGAAAUCCCUAAGGGUCUAGCGUUGGACUAGCCCAUUCUAUGAAUUCCGACUAGCGUUGGACUAGUGGAAACGUACAUUCAUCACAUUCAUUCAAGGAUAUGGAAAGCGAGUAGACAUGUCGAUCACAUAGCACAUAACACUUAGCAUGCAUAUCUAAAUGCCAAAACCUAAGAAAACGAUUAAACAUAUAGCACAUAGACAUGCAAGACACAUAAGGUGAUUAAGGCCCUAACUAUUACAUUUGCUAGCUAGGCACAAGUCUUCAACAGCUCUUCAUCGAAUGCUCCUUCAAACCCUAUCUAUUACAAGCCAAGAGGUGUACACAUACCCCAUAAA